CCUACGGGAGGCAGCAGUGGGGAAUAUUGGACAAUGGGGGCAACCCUGAUCCAGCCAUGCCGCGUGAGUGAUGUAGGCCCUAGGGUUGUAAAGCUCUUUAAGUUGGGAAGAAAAAGCUUCAGCUAACAUCUGAAGCCUUGACGGUACCGACAGAAUAAGCACCGGCUAACUCUGUGCCAGCAGCCGCGGUAAU
rnacentral:rRNA from 1 species